AGGCAAAUUCUCUCUUUCUUUACAGAAUCUACGUAUAGUUGACAAUAGACAAUGCCUAACAAAGAAAUCAUCUUUCCCCUCAAAACCCAGCGUGGACAAUCAGGACCUUAGCACCACCAGUCAUGCUCACG
rnacentral:lncRNA from 1 species